ACAGCACGCGCCACGCUCCGUCCGUCUCCGUCUUGGACGAAUGCUGCUCCGUGUGGGGACCAGCGACCAGCCUAGCUCGAUGACGCGUAUCACGUAUCACCGUCACCUGUUCUGAAUCACUUUUGAGGUGAUGAUUUGGUGAUUGUUACUCGGUCCCGUCCUUUGACUCAGCACGUCUAUUCAAUGAUUUGAGAGGGAUUGGAAAUCAAGUCACCCGAUGGGCCACGACCACCAGAAGCCUAUAUGGAGAAUCUGUCUUCGUCUUUGAGUUAUACACCUCUCCUGUGGGACCUGUAGGACUUUGGCGACUUGAGAUUGUCGCUGCCAGCCUCGGGUGCAUCUAGGAGAUAGACUUCGUGGUUUGCUGUGGCUGUGGUGAUAUUUUACCAAACCCCGGACACGAACCACAAUCUGAAAAGACGCACGCGCGAGCCCUCUGCUAAGGAGAAGGAUCGGAUCAUCAGCAGCGACACUCAGCGCCCCGCGUCGUCACAUACGUGCGUUGGUCUCUGGUCCACGGUUCAUCAUCGCCCGUCACCUGAACAGGAAGGUAUGUUGACGAUGUUGACGCACUCCCGGUGUGAUUGGUCCCGGUCAAAUUCUCCAAACACAAUUCUGUGUAAUUUUAAAGUAACAAGUAACAAAACAAAUACAAUCGUACGAUCCCAGACAAUAGAACUUUUGAA